UACUCAGUGGCCCGAUGUGAGGAGAUCCAGAAUGGAGCAUUGCCUGGCUUUGAGAAGUAGGAUCCGGUGGGGCUGGAGUGAAAGUUCCCAGAAGAAGCCAAUCCCUCUGUUAGGCGAAUGAUGUUUGCCACUGUGGACUGGAUGUGAACCCAGACUUUCACUCACCUCAAGCCACCCAUGUGAUGUGGAUGCCACCUCCCCACGAAAGAUUUGCAUAACCGUUCCUGGUGCUUUAGAUGUAUAUUUUAACCAUGAUUCUCAGGUAAUUUUUACAUCUAAAACACAGCUAUGUAGAUUACAAGUUAAGUUUCUUAAAAUUUGCUUCAACUUGUUGUGGUUGCCAAGGCUGUGUUUUUAGUUAUUUUAACAAUAAACUGAGCAUAGAGUUAAGGUAGUCUGAAAAUUACUGUGUAAAAAUUGAUCUCCAUUUAACAGUUUAGGCUACAGGCUUUAGAUGACUAUACUUUAACAAAUCAAUAUAUAUGUGUUCAUCUAUGGUUUGCAAGGAUUCAACAGUUUUUGAAAAAUAAUUAUUUUUUGGUUAAGAGUUGAUGUACUAUGACUGUUUUCCAAACUGUGGUUUUGAUGGACCAUUCAUAUAUGUGUCAUGAAAAGUGCAUAGCAUUUGGAAAAUACUGAGUUACAUAAAUUGUGAGUUACAUAAAGUGUGUGUGUGUGUGUGUGUGUGUGUGUCUAAACUGAUUUCUAAAUGAUACUUCUCAGUUUAGCCAGUUAUAUCUCCACUGUUUUUGCUGGACAAAUUUUUUAGGUUAAGUUUAUAAGAAUUUCAGAAAUUUAAGAAGUCUGAGAUUAUCAGUGAGAUUUCUCACUGAAUGAAGUAAUGAUCAGUGUCUUCUGUAAACUCUCAGGGAACCCACUACACUACACUUACUUAUCCUUGGCAGAUUCACCUUCUGUGAAAAUCAGUUGUGUGUGUGCCUUCUUUCAUUUAUUCCUUUCUUCCUUCCUUCCCUUUUUCUUUCUUUCAACUAUAAAUUUGAGGUACACAAAUGUCUACAUCUACUCUUGCAUACAUUUAAAAGUAUACCCCCACUGGAAAAAGAGAUCAAGCCCUACUUAUCUCUAACCACUUAGCGCCCUCCCACGUGAGUAUUUGAGGUGCUCCUGUGGUAUCUGAUUGAAGGGAGGUCAAUUCUGCAUCCUAGGGAGGCUAAAGCCUGAGAGAGGAGCAGCCUAAGUCCUGAUGUGUUAUCUGCCUGGCAAGUUUAUUUGGGGGCUGCAUUUGUGUUUGGCUGUCUCCUCCCUGUCCAGAUUUCCAUGUUUGUUCAAUAUAUUUCCUCCUCUGAAAGAGUAUGGUAAAAGAAGUUCCCCAUUCCUACCUAUCAACCUUCAUUUUCAGUUAAAUUACUAGGAAAAUAGUAUUUUUUGACUGAUUAAUUGGGUGAUGUCAGUCUAGACAGACAAGGGUUUCAUAGAAUGCAGUGUGGUACUUAGAAUAGUUAGCAUUGUAUCCUUGAAUGCAUAUGCUAUACUUUUUACCUAAUCAAAAGUAAUUUUUGUUUGAUCAAAUGUAAGAUUGCCAAGUGCCUAAUGAAUACUUUGUGAUAAUAUUACAAAACAAUAUGAACGUUUUUGCUUUUGAAAAAUUACCUACAAUUGAAUAUGGAAUUAUCAAAAACCCACUACAACUUUUAUAAAAAGGAUAGUUGCCAUUUUAUUUUUACAAAAAUAUUUGCAUUUCUUUUUUGAUAUUCUAAAAGAUCAUAUGGUCUUCAGAGGUAAAAGUUGUUGGUUACCAAUAUAGUUUCAUAUUGCAGAGUGGGAAAUUUAAUCUUCAUCUGUAAUAAUUCAUCUGCAUUCCAGAAUUAGUUCUUAAUUUGUUGUUUUAAAAGUUUUUCCUAAAAUUUUUCCAUAAUUGUUACCUUAUUUCUUCACCAACACUUAUUCUGUCCCUCACUAUUUUCUGAAACAUAAAAGCAGUGAUAUUUAUAACCUGUAGCUAGGUAUAGGGAAUAAACACCUGGAGGCAUAAAGGGCAGUUGUCCUGUUCUAUUUUCUGGCCUUCUGCUGGAGUAUUUAAUUUUGAAUGCCAAUCUUAUUUACAGAGAUAUAGGCUUUUAUAUUUAAAAUAUUUUAUUUAAUAAUCAAUUAUAUAUCAUUAUUUCUAAAAUGGUAACUUUGAUUGCUUUUAGCUAGGAAAUUCUAUGGCUGGAGCAUUUAGAAUUUUUUUGGUUAAAUUGAUUUCAAAAUGAAUUGUAUUUUGUUGUCUUAUAUCAAAGGUAAGGGGAUCUUUAAGGUUUUGCCAUUUUGCAGGCAGUCUUUUUUGUUUUUUAGCUAGUGUGUGUCUUCAUAGCAAAACUCACUGACCCCAUUUAUCUCUCCUAAGGAUCUCCAACAAUUAUGAAAAACGUUACACUGCCCUGUGGCUUGCUGAUGUUGCUUUUAUAUUUCCCUGGAAAUUUGCUCCCUUUGUACUUUUUACACAGGUAAGAUGAUUUUCAACAUUGACAAACCUUGCUAGUUUUUCUAAGAAAAGUAUUAGGCACAGUCCUUCCAGGCUAUCUUUUUCUAUACAGACUCAACUGUAUAAAGAGGUUUCAAACCAGAAGACACAUUAGAGGGCUGAGGAUUUAGCUCAGUGCCACUCUACCUGCCUUGCAAACAGAAGCUCCUGAUUAUGAUCCCCAGUACAAAAAAAAUCAGGGAAGCAAGGGGUUUUGCUGACUCCCUCUCCCCAAGAAGAUACACUGAGUCUCAUUCUCCCCACUCUCCUGUGGACUGUGGGGAGGAGGCAGAGUACUCAAGGAGCCAGGAAGCAUUGGAACCUCUGGUACUGCCAGAGGAAGAGGCCUGCCCAGUUGAAAUAGUCAGUGAUGACUAUUUGAAUUAGCACUGAUGAGGCAGUGAUGGGGAGAGAGGACCACAGAGAGUGGCCACACCUGGAAGAGGGAUGUGCAGACAGGGACUGGGGUGGGGCAGGGCUCCACUCAGAGUGGAACCCCAGGGUUGGAUCACCUGGCUAUUCAUGGAAAGUCAAGGGGCUGGAGGUUGUCUGCAGAUGAGAGCAGUCAGGAAAAGGGAGGCUGUGAUGCCUAGGAUGGCCCUUCCAAGGAUCAGAAGGGGGUCUUCUAAGCUAUAGCAAAGGGGCUCUUGAGAAUUAGGAGAGGGGUCAGGGACUAAAGAUGCCAACACCCAGAGAAGCUAUGUCUGGGGAAGACGGUGGCCUGCAUUCAGAUACCAGAGGCCCCGGGCUGAGGAAGGUGCACACAUCCAGCCUGCCAGAAAAAACCCAGGAGCUGAAGGCAGAUGGUCCCCAGAACUAAGGGGGAAUAGUUGGGGGAAUGUCAUGUGGGAGCUUCCCACAAAGACAGCCAUGGAAGAAGGACUGUGGGGUAGGACCUCUCUCCUCCCUAAGCCGUGCCAUAGUGAGAGCCUGGCUCAAGGGAAAAGGAGCUCAAUCUGUUAGUUACCUGAGGUUCUUGCACCAGGCCAGGCAUCUCUUGAACACAGUCUGCUGUGUGAAGAGAACAGAGCAUCACCUUGGGGACUGGCACAGGGUUUCUCAUGGGGCAAGCAGACGAGGAGUAUAACUGGGCCUGCCUGGCAAAAGGUUCAGCAUGAGGCCGAGGGCAGACAAAUGAGCAGAGGGUGGAGGAGGACAUUCACUUGACAGGGGACAUGGGCUCAACCCUCAGAAUCCUGGAGGAACUACUGAGUUAGAGGCUGGGUAGCAGCAAAUACCUGCAUUAUUAGGAGCUUUGAACAUACCAUGGUGGCCUCAUGACAUAUGAAUAUAUCACUUUCAAACUCAGAAAGCAUGAGGGUUCUUUUCUCCUCUGAGAUACACAUUUGGGAGUGAAGGUGUCCCGGUCACACAUUUAGGGCUGAAACCAUUUGCACUGAGAAGAGUCAGCAAGAGUUCUGUUGAACAGGAAGGUGCUGUAACCAGGCUUUCUGAUCACAAUGGGGGAACAUUUUAACACAUGUGUAAGUUGUGUCAUUUCCAUGUCCCUGAGGAUGGAUGGGGCCAGAGUCCUCUGGGAAGGAGAGCUCCUGCCUCACAGUGACCUCCCUUUGAUGGGAAAAGGAAGUAAUUGCACUUUUCUUCUGUUCUUAAAGAACCUUGUUGGAGGUGCAGUCUGAGGUCUGCUUACCUAACAGCCUGGUUCCUGGUGGUGCUCAAGCAGCACUGACCAUAGAUGCUUCCUCUCAGGGUCAUUUGGAGUCCAUAUGGGAACUCCAUGAGCCCUAUGCACUGAGGGCCCAGACCAGGUUGCCCAGUGCCUCCUGUGAUUUCUUCCUAGACCCAAAUAAUCAUUCCCACUUUCUUUUUUUGGCCAGGGGACUGAGGUGAGAGCUGGGGGUUUACCGUAUAGGCUAAGUAAAAAAACCCAGACAUGUCCUCCUCCUCAUAGUUCUCCACUUCUAUGGACCAGUCUUUCUGCUUCUUCUGGCCAGAGGCAGGAAGUAGAGUGCUAAUCGAGGGACUGGAUCAAAAAGACCCAGCAGGUCCAUCUGCCACUCAUCUUCUGACUCCCACAGCCUCUCUUCCUUUUCCGGCCAGAGGCCUAAGGACAGAAGUUGGAUGCCAUCAACAGACCUGAGGAAAGAAACCAGGUUCACUAUGAAACCUCACUCUUUGGAAUUCAGCCUUUGAUCAUCUAAGCACAAUGUCCCCUUCCCAAGCACAAAACGUUUUCCAUUGUCAUCUCCUUCAGAGUCAUUUUUGCAAAUUUUACCUUUGCUGUUCUCCAUCUGCUUUCAGUUCUCCUUGCAGGGUCCAUUGUUCCCUUCCUUCCAAACUCCACCUGUUGUAGACACAUUGUCACAGGUGUGUGAAAGGAAGCUCUACUUGAGUCUCUGCUUCCCCUGUGCAUCCUGGGAACACAUGUUCUAACCCCUCCUUCCUACCAGCCCCACAGAUUUUUGACUGAUGGGGCUCUCCUUGUCCCACAUCCUGUCUUUUCCUAUUCCCUUCCCCGGUAUGGAAAUAAUGAUGGGAAUGUGUUCUGGGAAAGGGGCAAUCCAUUGAAACUGUCAUUGUGCCAACCUGGUAGAAUGAACUCACCCAGCUCUAAGAACUAGCAGGGCAGGAGGUGAAACCAUCUCAUAUAAGCACUAUGUCUCUGUGGUCCAUCACUGGCCAAAAUAUAAUAUGUAGCACGUGAAUGUCUAUUGCUUCUGUUGUACAGCCAGCCCUCUAUGCAUCUAUGGAAUUGUUUCCUCCACCUGAAGAGAAACUCUACCCCAUGAAACCAUGGAUGCCCAGUCUCUUCUCACAGCCUCUGGGAAGCAGUGUUCUCCCAUUGUCCCUAUGAAUGGACAGCGCUGGGAUCCUUGUAUGCCUAGCAGUCCUGUGGACUCAGACCACGUGUGUCUUUGGUGUCUGCCUUCUUCCUCUUAGCACAAUGUCCUCAGGGUCCCUUGAGAGUGCAGGAUGUCAGAGUGCCGUCCUUUCUGAGGAAGGUAUAACUGUCUACUGUGUAGAUAGAUGACAGAUAUUGUCAUAGCCAUUUAUUCAUAAUGGGACAUUCGGGUGAAUUCCACACUGGGAUUCUAAAUUUUGCUUUAAUCCAUUUCUGGUAUCUGUUGAUGUUAAGGCUGUCUGUUCUUUAGGCUCUGUGUGAAGGUUACUUGGUACUUUCAUCCCUGGACAUGUCUUCCAGCAACCCGCACAAGGCAUAGACUUCAUCAUGCAGAAUUCUGCCUUCAGGGAUCUUUGGCCUCUCUUCCCAGGGCCCUAGGACUUUCCUCAAACAAGUUAAAAGAGGCCUAGUGUCCUGGCCCAUGAUGUAAUAGUAGCACUCAAGAAGCUGAGGCAGGAGGAUGGCUGAGAGUUUGAGGCCACAAUCACUAUGUAUCUCAGGCUGUCCUCAAACUUCUCACAUCUGUCCAUCCUCACCCUCCUGAGGGAUGAUAUUACAUAGAUGUGCCAUUCACCCCAGCUAGGAAUCGGAGAACUUAGAUGAUAUACCAAAAGCCCACAUGAUACAGGAGUUUCUCUGUGGCAUAGCCAUAGUAUGUAGUGGUGGAUCCUGUGGGAGGUGGGACCUACCAGGAGGGAAUGAGGUCAUUGGGGCUGUGCCCUUCAAGGCUCAGCAGGACCUUUUCCCUGGCCUCUUCCUCUCACUGGCUUCCUGGCAGCCAGGAGUUGAGAAGAUUUGCUCUUUAACCUGUUCCCAUCAUGCCCUGUUGCCUUGGCACAGAACCAGAAGCAAAGCAGCAAAAGUUCCUCUUUUUAAGUGUCUGUUUCCAGUAAGAGAAAGCUAAUGUAUGCACUAACUUGGUAACUUAAAUUCUUUUUUCAAGACUGUACAGACAGAUUGAUGUUGGGAACAUAUUCAGGAUAGGAAGAGCCUGAAUGUAAAUCAGAGCACAUUAAUGAUGAUGAGCAGGGUGUCUCUAAGAGAUUCUCAGCAGAAAAUGUCACCUCCUACAAAGAAAGAUUUUCGCCAUGUUUUCCUGAUGGACUAAUAGUUGGAAGAAAGAAAGGAGGAUGAUAUUCUACUGCGAUGGUGCUGCUGCCUCUGAAAUGGCUAGAAUCAUUUCAGGCACCAUCAUAGCUAAGGGCACAGCUGUUUAUUCUGAGCUAAUUGGAGCAGAGUUAAAACCAAGAGAAGUAAACUGCAAGAAAGUAAAGUUUGAGAAGAAAGAGGAUAACCUCUUCAGUGAACAAAUGUCAAGCAUACGGUACAGCAUAGGAUGCAAUACAAGCUUUCCUGUGCCCCUCUUCAGGGGAAAGGAACUGAGCUCUUGCUGCACUGAAAUUCCUGGAAGCAUCCUGAACCACCUACUGAUACCAGUGCAAGCAGCAAGAGCUCAGUGCCCAGCCAGAA
ensembl:lncRNA